rnacentral:lncRNA from 1 species
GGGUCAGGUCCUAGCCGGGUUUUGUUCCUGCUGGCGCCGGAAUCCUCUGAGUGUAGGGAGCUGCACUGCUGGCUGCCGAGGCCUCUGGUUUGUUCCUGGCUUACCAAGUUAGCUGAGUAGGCGGCGGAGCGGCGGCCCCCGGAGGGUCACUAUGUGGGCCUUCCCGGAGUUACCUCUGCCGCUGCCGCUGUUGGUGAAUUUGAUCGGAUCGCUGUUGGGAUUUGUGGCUACCGUCACCCUCAUCCCUGCCUUCCGUAGCCACUUUAUCGCCGCGCGUCUCUGUGGCCAGGACCUCAACAAGCUCAGCCGGCAGCAGAUUUUGUGGCCCUGAUAGGUGCCCUCCUUGCUAUCUGCUGCAUGAUCUUCCUGGGUUUUGCUGAUGACGUACUCAAUCUGCGAUGGCGUCAUAAGCUGCUGCUCCCCACAGCUGCCUCACUACCUCUCCUCAUGGUCUACUUCACUAACUUUGGCAAUACAACCAUUGUGGUGCCGAAGCCCUUCCGCUGGAUUCUUGGCCUGCAUUUGGAUUUGGGCAUCCUGUACUAUGUCUACAUGGGACUGCUUGCAGUGUUCUGUACCAAUGCCAUCAACAUCCUAGCGGGAAUUAAUGGCCUAGAGGCUGGUCAAUCACUAGUCAUCUCUGCUUCUAUUAUUGUCUUCAACCUGGUGGAGCUGGAAGGUGAUUAUCGGGACGAUCAUGUCUUUUCCCUCUACUUCAUGAUGCCAUUUUUUUUUACCACCUUGGGAUUGCUGUACCAUAACUGGUACCCGUCUCAGGUGUUUGUGGGAGACACCUUCUGUUAUUUUGCUGGCAUGACCUUUGCCGUGGUGGGAAUCUUGGGACACUUCAGCAAGACCAUGCUGCUCUUCUUUAUGCCACAAGUAUUCAAUUUCCUCUACUCACUGCCUCAGCUCUUUCAGAUCAUCCCCUGCCCUCGACACCGUAUGCCCAG